rnacentral:lncRNA from 1 species
AGAGCGCGAGUAUGGGAAAUCUAACCCUCGCUAAUCAUCAUCAUUGUUCUUCUUCUUCUUCGACAUACGCUGGUUCAUCGCUUAAUCCUGGUUCACCUUGCUCCGACCCGCCUCAUGACCCGGAUGGUUACUUGUCCGAUGACCCGGCUCAUGCAUCCACCUUCGCCACCCGCCGCGGUGAGCUCUUUCUCAACAACCAAAAAUAAUAUAUCCUCGCCUUAACUACUUCUCUUUAAAAACCAAAUCAACAAUUUGGAUUAUCAAUCCUAAAAUGCAAUACAUCUAAACCUUAAAAUUUCAAUUCAAUGGACAGUCUCAUAAUAAAUUUCAAUUUAAAGAUUAUCUAAUUGUUAAAUUUAACGGGAAAAAAAUAAUUAUAUCACAACAAAGGAUAACGUAAGAGAGAUAUACAAGGAAGAAUAAGAGGGGUAAAAUAGUGAUUGCAGUAAUAAUAAAAAAGGAACGAACGAUGGAGCGCGUUCUACUAGCAACCCAUGUAAGACGUUAAAGUGAAAUUCCAGAUUUAGCCUCGGAGUGAAUACAAAAAUCAAGAAUUAUUCAAGAAGGUCGUUUUUCUUAAUUAAGCGAAACGCAUGCACUCAUUUUAUUUUUCUCUCUAACUUAUAUUUUUUCUAUCUAUCCAUUUAUAAUAUUGAUAUAUCAAAAUAUAACACUUUGUUGUUAAUUAUUGUUUCCUUUUGGAACCCCUCGUGAUUGCUCUUAAGACCGAGUCAGGCGGCGGAGAAUCGGCAUGACUCGGCGGUGCUCUCACUGCAGCAACAACGGCCACAACUCACGGACAUGUCCGUCGAGAGGUGGCGCCGGGGUGAAAAUCUUCGGUGUUAGGUUAACGGAUGGAUCAAUCAUCCAAAAGAGCGCGAGUAUGGGAAAUCUAACCCUCGCUAAUCAUCAUCAUUGUUCUUCUUCUUCUUCGACAUACGCUGGUUCAUCGCUUAAUCCUGGUUCACCUUGCUCCGACCCGCCUCAUGACCCGGAUGGUUACUUGUCCGAUGACCCGGCUCAUGCAUCCACCUUCGCCACCCGCCGCGGUGAGAAAAAGAAAGGUAUUUUUUUUUUUUUUUC